rnacentral:lncRNA from 12 species
GAAAUAGAACCACCUGAGAGAUAUUUGAUCCCACUACUGAAUUUCCCCAAACACUUUGUCAAUGAGGUCAAACACUUAUAGUACUUAGAUUUGCCAGGGACGUUUCAGAUCCCCAGUACUUCAGAGAAGAUAAGUAAAUGCCAGCGGUUCCUGAAAUGAUGUCAGCCUCCCAGUAUCUUCUGAAUGAGUCUUCAUUCUAUGUCUCCUUAUCCAUAAUAGAAGCCAUAUGGCCCAGACAGGACCUAAGAGGCCACAGAGAUGAAAGAAACGUGAUCACACUUUUCCCUGCUGACAGCUGAACAUGCUUGCUACUUACAGUUGAAAAAGCAUCAUCAUCUUCAAGUGCCUUUUAGGAGCGUUCAUGCUAUGGAAUAAAGGUGAGCCAGGAGAGGUAGGAGGCA